ACGCGUUAAGUAUCCCGGCCUGGGGAGUACGCACGCAAGUGUGAAACUCAAACGGAAUUGACGGGGGCCCGCGCAAGCGGUGGAGUAAUGUGGUUUAAUUCGAUGCAACGCGAAGAACCUUACCAGGACUUGACAUGUCGCGAAUCCCAGUGGAAACACAGGAAGUGACCUUCGGGAGCGCGAAACACAGGUGGUGCAUGGCUGUCGUCAGCCUCGUGUCGUGAGAUUGUUGGGUUAAGUCCCGCAACGAGCGCAACCCUUAUCCUUAGUAGCCAGCGGUUCGGCCGGGCACUCUAGGGAGACUGCCAGGGAUAACCUGGAGGAAGUGGGGAUGACGUCAAAUCAUCAUGCCCCUUAUGAUUUGGGCUACACACGUGCGUACAAUUGGCGUAAACGAAAGGGAAGCAACCCUAGCGAAGGCAAGCAAAUCCCAAAAUAACGUCCCAGUUCGGAUUAGUGUCUGCAACUCGACUACAAUGAAGCUGGAAUCGCUAG
rnacentral:rRNA from 1 species